rnacentral:lncRNA from 1 species
UAAUUAUUGUCUUAGGAGACUAAUGAUAUUUCUUAUGAGACUAUUACAGAUAUAAAGAAGGAAGCCUGACGUUACUUAGGAGAUUAAUGAUAUUACUAAUGAGACUAUUACAGAUAUAAAGAAGGAAGACUAUCAACACGUAAAGAAUAAGCACAGUGGGACAUGUGAAGGAGGAAACAGGGUAAAUCAACAUCAAAUCCAGCGGGACAGAUCGGUCAUGGCGCCGUGCGAGUGGAUGAGAGGAGAACAUCAUGAAAUGGAGAUUUCACACACAUAGUCGUCACUCAACAACUAACAGUCAACAGAGUUCAUUGCAUAAUUUCACACAAGGAUUGAAGUACCAACCUCCAAACAUAUUUGCGGAAGAUGUGACACCAAAGGACAGAUCAUCCAAGACCAAGUGUUCGAUCAGAUAUAAAUUGUUUGUGCAAGCAACAUACAAGAGCACCUAUGACAGCAACUCCAUGUGUUAUCAAAAAUCAAGUGUCCAAGCAGAAGAUUGCAGACCUUCGUCAAGCUUAGUCGACGAGGACGUCGACCGUUUAAGUGGG